rnacentral:rRNA from 1 species
GAUGAACGCUGGCGGCGUGCUUAACACAUGCAAGUCGAACGGAAAGGCCCAAGCUUGCUUGGGUACUCGAGUGGCGAACGGGUGAGUAACACGUGGGUGAUCUGCCCUGCACUUCGGGAUAAGCCUGGGAAACUGGGUCUAAUACCGGAUAGGACCACUUCUUGGAUGUUGUGGUGGAAAGUUUUUUCGGUGUGGGAUGAGCUCGCGGCCUAUCAGCUUGUUGGUGGGGUAAUGGCCUACCAAGGCGUCGACGGGUAGCCGGCCUGAGAGGGUGUACGGCCACAUUGGGACUGAGAUACGGCCCAGACUCCGACGGGAGGCAGCAGUGGGGAAUAUUGCACAAGGGGCGCAAGCCUGAUGCAGCGACGCCGCGUGGGGGAUGACGGCCUUCGGGUUGUAAACUCCUUUCGCUAGGGACGAAGCGUUUUGUGACGGUACCUGGAGAAGAAGCACCGGCUAACUACGUG